UUUUUUUUUUUUUGUUGGUUUUGUCAUUGUAAAAGGAUUCCUUUCCACAUUUUAAUAGGAAUGCUCACGUUUAAUUAACCUUAAUAAUUUCUGAAUAAUUCGUUAUUAUUUCAAUCAUCCCAUCUCUCUCUAUAUAUAUAAAAUUUAUUUUUUAACUUAGGUAGUUUAACCUCUCUUUUUUUUUUCCAGUUCACUAACAUUAAGUAGAAUAAUAAUUUUAUGGUUUUGCUACAAAAUUUAAUAUUCCUUUUAUGACCGUUAUUUCUAUAAUAAUUAAUAUGUAUUAAGUUUGUGAGUAUGUAUGUAUCCGUAUAUUUUUUAUUUUCUCCACUCUUUUAUUAUAUGUUUUUCAUAUAACUGUUAGGGUUUUGUCCUGAUUUUCUUACCUUAUUUAAAGUUAAUUUUUUCCUAAAAGAAAAAAAACAAAACAUUACCAUAAAUGUUUUUACUUUUUUUGAAAGGAAAAUAUAAUUUUCUUCCAUAUUUGAUUUAUUCUUUCCCGGAAAAGUUUGGAGAUCUAUAAAUUGAAAAUCCCUAUUCUCAUAAGAACAUCCACAAUGUAGUCAUUUAGAGAGUUUUAUUUAUGGGGAGAUUUUCCCGUCAUAUGUAGGCCAAUUGGCUAAACCAUAUAAUAAGAUUUUUAUUUUUAGUAUAAGUUUUUAUCAUCUGAUUUAUCAAUCAUAUGAUUUGCAAUUGUAAGCUUUCGCAUGACACCCUAAUCACUUUCAAAUCCAUGUGUUAUCACAUCACAAAGCCAUAAAGCCAUGAAAAUUUAUUUCUUUUCUAUAAUUAUCUAUUUUGCUUUAAAGAAUAGAGUGCAAGUCAGCAAACUCAGCUCAGAAAUCACUAAGGAUAUAUAUAUGAAAAGUAUGCAACAAUUUAUCGAGUUAUUGGCAAAAAAGCUUCUACUUGACAGUGAAAAAAUGGGACAACCAGUUAAAAAUCUGGAUCAAUUUAUCCAUUUAAUCUUGUUACUGCUUAAAAGUCAUCCUUUUUGUAAGGUGUGUUCAUUGAAAAAAAAAUUAACAUAGAGAUCAGAGGUUAGCCGAUACACCGUCCGAUAAUUGUAAAUUUGUCACCGAACCAACCGAUAUCUUAUAGAUUGGCUAGUGGAUUAGUAAAUUUAAAAACCGAUAUCCGAUAGGUCAAACCGUUAAGCGAAAUUAUCCGCUCGUUAUGUCCGAUAAGCAACCCUAAUCAUUAACUUAUAUAUUUAAAAAAUUAGUAUUUCUUACUUUUUUCGUACAUAAUUAAAAGAAAAUAUCAUAAUUUUUAAAAAAGUAUAAAACAAAUUAAAGUUGAUAAUAAAACGGUAUAAUAGGCAUUUGGAAGAAUUAAUUAGGAUAAAUGGUGGAAUUUGAUUAUUGUUCAAAGUUGGGGGAGGGGGGGGGGUUGGUUUUAAAAAACAAAGUUGGAUGUGAAAAGCAUGAAUUUCUUAGCUUAAAUGUUAAAUUAUUAUAAUACCCAAACUAAAAAUAUAUAUUUAUCUAUACUAAUAUUAAAAGUACGAAGAUCUUUAGAAAUGUUGUUAGAAUUUUUUGACUUUUGUUAAAAGAGUCCAUUUUAGACAAAAUCAUAUUUUCACUAUUUUAUUUCAAUUAUGAAUAAUGAUAUAAAUAUUAACUAUAAUAAACAUAAAAAAAAUUAAAUGGAGAAGGUUUUGAUUAUUUUGAAAGUUUUUUUACUUUUUUUUAAAAUCAAAAUAAUCAAAAGAUGUCCCAAACAAAGGGCAAAAACAUUGUCAAAAAACGUCAUUUUUUAAAGCUCUUUCUACGGUUUCGUGAUUGGUUGGACCCUAACAUCGUACAAAUGAAUAAUAAUUUUGAAAUAAAAUACGAUGCUUGAUUGGAUAUUUUUGAUUAGUUACAUCACAAUUAGAGCCAGUAGGAUUUUUUUACGCCACCUUCAGGGAAAAUAAUUCCAAGAUUACCAAGCUCUUCACCCAAAACCUUUCAAAAAAAUCUGAAGUUAGAAAAUAAAAAGUUAUCUCAGCUUAUCUGGUCUAGUAGAAAACAAGACACAUUAAAAAAAAAGUGAUUAGUUUUGAAAUUGUGGAUUGUUUACAAAUAGUUGCCGUAAAAGUGAUUACCAUUGGGCUGAAAGUGAAAGCCCGAAUUAUAAAUAUAUUAUAUGGAUUAUUUCACACAUUAAUAAGUUGCAGAAAAUGUCAUUGAAACACAAACAAUCUUACAAAACGUGAAUAACAAUGUGAUGGUCAAUUGAAAUGCUUUUAUACGUAAAAAAUACAAAUUCAAGACACUGUAAUACGGACACGAAAAGAGAAAAAUGUCCUAGAAAGUCCUCGAGUAUUUUCUGAUCUCAUACAUUAUCGAUGAAAUUGAAACAAGAUCCUUGUUCAAGGUAGACCCACCAUUUAUCCUCUUUAUACAAUCUGAAAGCCUUGUAUAAUAGAGAAGAAGUUGAGUUAAUGCAGCUCUUAGAAUGUCCAUACCACACAGGAAAUUGCUGAAAGAAGUAAUCACAUCAUUGUGCAUAAGCUCAAUGGCAGCUUUCCAUCUGCUUGCAAAGUCCUUUACAAUCGGCUCAACUUCAGCAAUAGUUAUAGGUCUUUCAGUGCCAGUACUUGGAUCCUCAGCUGCAAUAAGAUAAUAAUCAGGGCAUUUCAGAAGGUUUGAGAUAAACUGACAUGCA
rnacentral:lncRNA from 1 species